GACGAACGCUGGCGACGUGCUUAACACAUGCAAGUCGAACGAUGAAGCCGGAGCUUGCUCUGGUGAAUUAGUGGCGAACGCGUGAGUAACACGUGAGUAACCUGCCCUUGACUCUGGGAUAACUGCGGGAAACUGUAGCUAAUACCGGAUACGACCCUCGGAGGCAUCUCCUGGGGGUGGAAAGAAUUUCGGUCAAGGAUGGACUCGCGGCCUACCAGCUAGUUGGUGAGGUAAAGGCUCACCAAGGCGACGACGGGUAGCCGGCCUGAGAGGGUGACCGGCCACACUGGGACUGAGACACGGCCCAGACUCCUACGGGAGGCAGCAGUGGGGAAUAUUGCACAAUGGGCGCAAGCCUGAUGCAGCAACGCCGCGUGAGGGAUGACGGCCUUCGGGUUGUAAACCUCUUUUAGCAGGGAAGAAGCGAAAGUGACGGUACCUGCAGAAAGAGCACCGGCUAACUACGUGCCAGCCGCCGCAGUAA
rnacentral:rRNA from 1 species